rnacentral:rRNA from 1 species
GACGAACGCUGGCGGCGUGCUUAACACAUGCAAGUCGAACGGAAAGGCCCUGCUUUUGUGGGGUGCUCGAGUGGCGAACGGGUGCGUAACACGUGAGUAACCUGCCCUUGACUUUGGGAUAACUUCAGGAAACUGGGGCUAAUACCGGAUAGGAUCUCCUGCUGCAUGGUGGGGGUUGGAUCGUUUCGGCGGUUGGGGAUGGACUCGCGGCUUAUCAGCUUGUUGGUGGGGUAGUGGCUUACCAAGGCUUUGACGGGUAGCCGGCCUGAGAGGGUGACCGGCCACAUUGGGACUGAGAUACGGCCCAGACUCCUACGGGAGGCAGCAGUGGGGAAUAUUGCACAAUGGGCGGAAGCCUGAUGCAGCAACGCCGCGUGCGGGAUGACGGCCUUCGGGUUGUAAACCGCUUUCGCCUGUGACGAAGCGUGAGUGACGGUAAUGGGUAAAGAAGCACCGGCUAACUACGUG